rnacentral:rRNA from 1 species
AGAUACCCGGGUAGUCCACGCCGUAAACGAUGUCUACUAGCUGUUGCCUUGCUAUUUUAUAGCAAGGUUGUGGCGUAGCUAACGCGAUAAGUAGACCGCCUGGGGAGUACGGCCGCAAGGUUAAAACUCAAAUGAAUUGACGGGGACCCGCACGAGCGGUGGAGCAUGUGGUUUAAUUCGAUGCAACGCGAAGAACCUUACCUACUCUUGACAUCUUCGGAAGAUCUUGUAAUGAGAUUGUGCCUUCGGGAACCGGAUGACAGGUGCUGCAUGGCCGCCGUCAG